rnacentral:rRNA from 1 species
UGCAAGUCGAGCGGUAGCACAGAGAGCUUGCUCUCGGGUGACGAGCGGCGGACGGGUGAGUAAUGUCUGGGAAACUGCCUGAUGGAGGGGGAUAACUACUGGAAACGGUAGCUAAUACCGCAUAACGUCGCAAGACCAAAGUGGGGGACCUUCGGGCCUCAUGCCAUCAGAUGUGCCCAGAUGGGAUUAGCUGGUAGGUGGGGUAACGGCUCACCUAGGCGACGAUCCCUAGCUGGUCUGAGAGGAUGACCAGCCACACUGGAACUGAGACACGGUCCAGACUCCUACGGGAGGCAGCAGUGGGGAAUAUUGCACAAUGGGCGCAAGCCUGAUGCAGCCAUGCCGCGUGUGUGAAGAAGGCCUUCGGGUUGUAAAGCACUUUCAGCGGGGAGGAAGGCGGUGAGGUUAAUAACCUCAUCGAUUGACGUUACCCGCAGAAGAAGCACCGGCUAACUCCGUGCCAGCAGCCGCGGUAAUACGGAGGGUGCAAGCGUUAAUCGGAAUUACUGGGCGUAAAGCGCACGCAGGCGGUCUGUCAAGUCGGAUGUGAAAUCCCCGGGCUCAACCUGGGAACUGCAUUCGAAACUGGCAGGCUAGAGUCUUGUAGAGGGGGGUAGAAUUCCAGGUGUAGCGGUGAAAUGCGUAGAGAUCUGGAGGAAUACCGGUGGCGAAGGCGGCCCCCUGGACAAAGACUGACGCUCAGGUGCGAAAGCGUGGGGAGCAAACAGGAUUAGAUACCCUGGUAGUCCACGCUGUAAACGAUGUCGAUUUGGAGGUUGUGCCCUUGAGGCGUGGCUUCCGGAGCUAACGCGUUAAAUCGACCGCCUGGGGAGUACGGCCGCAAGGUUAAAACUCAAAUGAAUUGACGGGGGCCCGCACAAGCGGUGGAGCAUGUGGUUUAAUUCGAUGCAACGCGAAGAACCUUACCUGGUCUUGACAUCCACAGAACUUUCCAGAGAUGGAUUGGUGCCUUCGGGAACUGUGAGACAGGUGCUGCAUGGCUGUCGUCAGCUCGUGUUGUGAAAUGUUGGGUUAAGUCCCGCAACGAGCGCAACCCUUAUCCUUUGUUGCCAGCGGUCCGGCCGGGAACUCAAAGGAGACUGCCAGUGAUAAACUGGAGGAAGGUGGGGAUGACGUCAAGUCAUCAUGGCCCUUACGACCAGGGCUACACACGUGCUACAAUGGCAUAUACAAAGAGAAGCGACCUCGCGAGAGCAAGCGGACCUCAUAAAGUAUGUCGUAGUCCGGAUUGGAGUCUGCAACUCGACUCCAUGAAGUCGGAAUCGCUAGUAAUCGUAGAUCAGAAUGCUACGGUGAAUACGUUCCCGGGCCUUGUACACACCGCCCGUCACACCAUGGGAGUGGGUUGCAAAAGAAGUAGGUAGCUUAACCUUCGGGAGGGCGCUUACCACUU